rnacentral:rRNA from 1 species
CCUACGGGUGGCAGCAGUGAGGAAUAUUGGUCAAUGGGCGGAAGCCUGAACCAGCCAAGUCGCGUGAGGGAUUAAGGCCCUGCGGGUCGUAAACCUCUUUUGCCGGGGAGCAGAGGUCUGGACGUGUCCGGGACGGGAGAGUACCCGGAGAAAAAGCAUCGGCUAACUCCGUGCCAGCAGCCGCGGUAAUACGGGGGAUGCGAGCGUUUUCCGGGUUUUUUGGGUUUAAAGGGUGCGUGGGCGGGCAUUUAAGCCGGCGGUAAAUUGCCGGGGCUCAACCCCGGCCUGCCGUCGGAACUGGGUGCCUUGAGUGGGCGAGAAGUAUGCGGAAUGCGUGGUGUAGCGGUGAAAUGCAUAGAUAUCACGCAGAACCCCGAUUGCGAAGGCAGCAUACCGGCGCCCUACUGACGCUGAGGCACGAAAGUGCGGGUAUCGAACAGGAUUAGAUACCCGUGUAGUC